rnacentral:rRNA from 1 species
CCUGAUGUUAGCGGCGGACGGGUGAGUAACACGUGGGUAACCUGCCUGUAAGACUGGGAUAACUCCGGGAAACCGGGGCUAAUACCGGAUGGUUGUUUGAACCGCAUGGUUCAAACAUAAAAGGUGGCUUCGGCUACCACUUACAGAUGGACCCGCGGCGCAUUAGCUAGUUGGUGAGGUAAUGGCUCACCAAGGCGACGAUGCGUAGCCGACCUGAGAGGGUGAUCGGCCACACUGGGACUGAGACACGGCCCAGACUCCUACGGGAGGCAGCAGUAGGGAAUCUUCCGCAAUGGACGAAAGUCUGACGGAGCAACGCCGCGUGAGUGAUGAAGGCUUUCGGAUCGUAAAGCUCUGUUGUUAGGGAAGAACAAGUACCGUUCGAAUAGGGCGGUACCUUGACGGUACCUAACCAGAAAGCCACGGCUAACUACGUGCCAGCAGCCGCGGUAAUACGUAGGUGGCAAGCGUUGUCCGGAAUUAUUGGGCGUAAAGGGCUCGCAGGCGGUUUCUUAAGUCUGAUGUGAAAGCCCCCGGCUCAACCGGGGAGGGUCAUUGGAAACUGGGGAACUUGAGUGCAGAAGAGGAGAGUGGAAUUCCACGUGUAGCGGUGAAAUGCGUAGAGAUGUGGAGGAACACCAGUGGCGAAGGCGACUCUCUGGUCUGUAACUGACGCUGAGGAGCGAAAGCGUGGGGAGCGAACAGGAUUAGAUACCCUGGUAGUCCACGCCGUAAACGAUGAGUGCUAAGUGUUAGGGGGUUUCCGCCCCUUAGUGCUGCAGCUAACGCAUUAAGCACUCC